UCUGCCACCAAAAACUGCUGUCAGUCUGGGUUCCAGAGUGAGGCGGACGGAGCAGAGCACCUAGACCACAGCAAUGGACACGUAGAAUUUCAGAAUCCUAAGAAGCAAUUGCAUCUGAAUGAAAUAGUAAUGACAAAAUUUAUGAAGCGGAAAGAAGAGUAAUUCAUUCACCUAACAUGAGCUUAAUUUCUUAAAGGGGGGAAGGGAAAUUUCCAAGUUCUCUCCCCUAAUAGAAGAUGGCCUGAACUGCCAUGAAAUUUUUAGCUGUCAGAAGAGUGCCCACUUUAGCAAAUAAUGAACAUGAAUACCUAACAUUUUACGAAUGCUUUUAGCUACAAGGUAAUGAACAGAAAGCCUGACUAGAGUGGCUUUAAAAAAUUAAGGAGCAUUUUUCUCCUAUAAUGAGAAGUCCAGARUUAGCAGUGCAUGGCUUAUUCAGCAGAUCAGUGAUGCCAAAGAGUUUGAGAUCUCCUUGACCUUGUUCUCACAAUUACAACAAGUCUGUUGCAGCUUCCACAAUUAUAUCCCCUUUCCAGCAAGAAGACAGAGGAUGAAGCCGAUAAAGGGAAUUGCCAAUAUCUGAAACUAAGUUUUAUGAGGAAGCUCCAGAAAAUUUCUGUUUAUAUCUCUUUGGCCAUAGUUUUGUUCCAGAGUCACUCCUGGCUGAGAGAUGGCCAGAGAGAGGAAAUGCAAAGAAAAAAGCAAAGGCAGCUCCUGGCAUCCAGACAUUGGCCAGAUACUCAUACCCAGRCACUGAUGUUUAGAAGAGUGUUUUAAUUUUGAUCUGAAAUAUCCCCCCAAAACCCAUGUGCUAAAGGCUUGGUCACCAGCCCAGGGUGCCUAUCAGGAGGGGGAGAAACCUUUGGGAAGUUGGGCUAAAUGGAAGCAAGUUAGGACAUUGGUGAAUGCCCUUGGAGGGGAUUUUGGCCCCUUUCUCGUUUUGCUUCCUGGCCUCCAUGAGGUGAGCAGCUCUUCCACCAUGUGCUCACACAGGCUCGAAGCAACAGAGCCAAGAAAACAUAGACUGGAGCCUCUGAAACCAUGAGCCAAACAAACCUUUCCUCCUUCAAGUUGAUUUUCUCAGGUAUUUUGUCACAAAGACAGAAAGUUGACUAACACAAAGUGUUAACCCAGCUUUCACAAAUAGUCCUUGGAGAUCUCCUGUUCAACAGAAACAGGUUUCCAUAUCACCAAUAUUGGUGAACAUGGUGAAGAAAGGAGGAUGACAAACCCAAUUAAGCAUCUUGUUGAACAAAGAGACAUGGUUAUUGUGCCACCACAAAAAUACCAAACAUCUGAGCACCCUGGCUGAUUUGAGGAACUUGCUUUUCUUCCAACUUUGCCUUCUGCGUUGCUUUACUUCUGCCAUCUUAGAGAUGUUUAAACCAGAGCUAUCCCAAGUUCCUGAAAGCGUCCAAUCCAGAGCAAAACCACUUUAAAUUUUCCUUCUGAAUCAACUAUGUCCAUGCUUUCAGACACCCUCUUGCUAAAACACUACACACCACCACAUAUGUGGUGUGCAGUCUCCUUUUACUAAUUCCAGUAAUAAUUCAAACUCCUUCAACUCUCAGUAUGUUCCUGGUGAUMUUUGGCUGGUUGAUAGCACAUUGAGUGGACCAAAUAAGUAUUUGUCACUCUUUUUUUCAUCCAAGUCCAUUUUUAACUAAAAUGAUGUGCUUUAAUAUGGCAUGCUUCAAACUCCUUAACAAAAAAGAAAUCAAGAUAGAGCUAACAGAGCAUAUGAUGAACAUUCAGAGGCUAAGGCUCUUGUCAGCUCUAUCCUAUUAAUAACACAAGUGACCCUGGGCAAGCCAUUAAAGGAAAGAAGAGAAACUGACCUCACAACAUCCAGUGAACCUGCCAGCAUUAAUAUGCUUGAGAGAUGAAAAAAAUAAAUCUCCAAAUAAUUAAGUACUUUAUUCUUCUAUUUACAUUUGUGAGCGGUAAAAAAUCGAGAUUCAAACCCAGGUAUGUAAGUCUAAAUUUGAAAACCUUUUCAUUUCACUGAAUUGCCUCAUGAAGUCUGAAUUCCUUCUCUAUGAACUGACUAGGUUGUUGCACUAGGACUUAAAAGGCCCUUUCCAUUCAUCAUGCAAGGAUUCUGAAUGAUGAAUGAUAAUAUUUAUAUUUACUCUUUUUAGCACCACCUGAUCUGUAGAUGAAAGGUGCAAGAAUAAUGUGAGGUGAUAUAUGUUUAUGGAAUCUUGAAUUUCAGCAAGCCCUUUUCUAAACAGCAUAAAUCAUGGAUUUGAUCUACCACUUGAACUUCCACGUGAAAUCAAUUUUCGGUUCCUUAUAAUUUAAAAAUAUGAACACCUCACUUAAAGAAUGUGUGAGAUGCUGUACAAAGAGGAGCUGGGAAAAGGGAAGACUUACCUUGAUUUUUAUCCAAGGAAGUAGCUUCAUUUUCUAUACUUAAACCUUAACAUUUGCACAGUCACAUGGAACAUCUUCACCAGGAAGUGACAGACAAUAUAGGAAAACAUGAUCAAUCACACGAUUAGGAAAAAUAAAAGCUGUAUGUGUUUUAUCAAUUAAGUAAAUAGUCUUAAAGGAAAUAAUAGCAGUGUUGAGAAGCUGGAAAAACAGGCACUGAGUUACUAGAGGAUGGAAUGGCAUUUUGUAACUUUCCUUUUGGAUAGCAAUUUGCAAUUGGCAACAAACACUUCUAAGAUUUUUGCAUAUCACAUUUGACCCA